rnacentral:rRNA from 1 species
AGCGAAAUGCGAUACUUGGUGUGAAUUGCAGAAUCCCGUGAACCAUCGAGUCUUUGAACGCAAGUUGCGCCCUAAGCCUUAGGGCCGAGGGCACGUCUGCCUGGGUGUCACGCAUCGUAGCCC